GUGCCAGCAGCCGCGGUAAAACGGAGGGUGCAAGCGUUGUUCGGAAUUACUGGGCGUAAAGCGCGUGCAGGCGGCUUUCUAAGUUUCGUGUGAAAUCCCUUGGCUUAACCGAGGAACAGCGCGGAAAACUGGAAGGCUCGAGUACGGGAGAAGUGGGCGGAAUUCCCAGUGUAGAGGUGAAAUUCGUAGAUAUUGGGAGGAACACCGGCGGCGAAAGCGGCUCACUAGACCGAUACUGACGCUCAUACGCGAGAGCAUGGGUAGCAAACAGGAUUAGAUACCCGAGUAGUCC
rnacentral:rRNA from 1 species